AAAAAGAAGUUUCAGAAGUAUUGGACAGAUAUCCAUGGUCUGAUGGCUAUUGUCACUGUUCUUGACCCAACGUACAAACUCCAUAUGGUGCAGGCUUUGUACGGUCCUCUCUAUGGACCUGAGGCUGCAAUUCAAGAGGUUGCACGCGUGAAGCAAUUGCUCCGAGAACUGUUGGUUCAAUACCAAGAUGCCUCUUCUGCGGGAACAUCAAAUGUUGCUAGUGCUACACAGCCCUUAGCUUCACAGGAAGAAGUUUUUGACAUAUUUGAACAGUACAUGUCUUCACAACCUACUGCUUCAUCUUUGUUGGUUCAUACAGAGCUAGACAUGUAUUUAGAAGAGCCAACUUUGCCAAGAACACCAGAUUUUGAUAUCAUCAAUUGGUGGAAGUUUGGGCGGAUAAAAUAUCCAACUCUACAUCUUAUUGCUCAUGACAUCUUGCCUAUUCCGGUCACAAUGGUAGCAUCGGAAUCUGCAUUCUCUACAAGUGGUGGAAUCCUUACUAGCGACGCUAGGAAGCUGAUAGAAUCUAUGGAGUUUGGAGAGAGAGGUUCAGAACAAGUCAUGCCACCCUACUCCGACCUGCCGCCCCUCCCCGCGGGCCGCCGCCACCGCCUCCCCCCGCACUCCCUCUCCCCUCCCUCCUGGCUCCUCCCCGCUCCACCGACGGUUGCCUCCCUGCGACCGGCUGCUCCGGUCGCUCGUUCCCAGCCCGAUCCACCUGCGGUGAGGCCCCUCCCCCCGUUCCUUUCCAUUUCACCAUUUCCUUCUGUCAUGUAG
rnacentral:rRNA from 1 species